rnacentral:rRNA from 1 species
UACGUAUGGUGCAAGUGUUAUCCGGAUUUACUGGGUGUAAAGGGAGCGCAGGCGGCACGGCAAGCCUGAUGUGAAAGCCCGCGGCCCAACCGCGGGACUGCAUUGGGAACUACCGGGCUGGAGUGCCGGAGAGGUAGGCGGAAUUCCUAGUGUAGCGGUGAAAUGCGUAGAUAUUAGGAGGAACACCAGUGGCGAAGGCGGCCUACUGGACGGUGACUGACGCUGAGGCUCGAAAGCGUGGGGAGCAAACAGG